AAAUUUAUAGGUUAGUUUUAAAACACAUGUAUUUCCCCUAAAAUUUUACGCACUCGCUAAUAACCGAGAUUGUAUUCAAUAAAUGUUAUCAAGCUAUCGUAAUGAAUGAAAGAAAUGGAUAAGAUAUGUUUUGAAUCUCCGAAUUUCACAACAUGAUGUAAUUUAGUCAGAGUAAUAUCCUAAAAUGUGUUGCCAAGUGUUUGGGAACCAUUGACACUUAUCUAUUUGAAGUGCCCGCAUACCUUUAUGAGAGGAAUACGACAAUUUACAACACCGCUAUAAACAAACCAUCAAGAUUAGGUUUGCAAAAUUACGUUUAUUAGUGUAAAUAUUUACCAAAAUGUUAUGCCCUCAAACUUUGCGGCUAAAACCGAAUCGACUAGAUUGAUAGUGUGCCAGACAACACCUUCAGUCACUUACCAGUUUUGUAUCUCGUAGGUUCUAUGCCGAUUGCGAAUAAUCACCGAACGGCCGAACAAACAUUAUCGAACUGCGCUGCACUGGCGAGAAGCGCCAACAUUUAUAGUCCCCGAGAACCACUCGAGAGUUACAUCAGCGGACGCAACUGGCAUUAUUCAGACCUGUACACCGAAUGCAUACAUUAAUAAAUUGACUUGGUCAGGUCAAAUCGGAGUCCGGUCUAGACGUCAUUAGUUGACAUUCCCUGCGAUAACUCAAGAUGCUGACAAUGCUGCAAUUUAUCUAUAACUACAACUAAGUUGUAGACUGAGAACUGUGAAAGGGGGUCAGUAAACCUGACGCCCCCAAGGCUGAACCUCAACUGAAUAGAACGCACGGUUCUGGUUUAAUAAACACACACACAGAUAGGAAGCUAGACUAGAAU